GACCCCCGCGCCGGCCCCGCUGGUCCCGGCUGCCCCGCCGCCUCCCGCGGCUUUCGCCGGGUCGCCAGGCGCUGCCAACAGCAACAGCAGCGAGCAGCAGCAGCCCGGGGCCGCGUUGGAGCGGACCCCGCCGACUCCAAUCAGCCCGGGGUCCCCUCCCAGCCUGUUCUCUGCUGCUGCCGCUCCUCGGCAGCUCCUUGCAGCUGCCGCGAAAGUGAAAUUGUUUUGUUUCAGGAUUCAGCAGUUCUCUGUUUCAGCAUUGAGAAGGACUUUUGAGGAUGUCAAGAUCAACGUUUCCAAUCAAUGGACACCUUCUCCUGAGAAUCAGCUGUUUGGACUUUGAAAUUUGAGCAUUCUUUUAAUUGUUGUUUGGGUUUUUAUGUUGUAAGUUUUGUUUUAGAGAUUUGAUAGAUGGUUUGCAGGUAAAGGAUCUCUUUGAACAUUCCACAUCAGCAUUUGAUUUGGCUUUUGAUUGAUAACUAGCAAAUUGAUAAGGGGACCUCUUGAGAUGUGUUUGCUCUCUUUUGCAGGGCCCUGCAGAAGAAUUGCAGAUGCAGUUUUUUUAUUUUAUUUUUUUUAAUUUAUACUAAAACGGUGAUAUGUGGCAAGCACAUUUCUCUCUCUCUCAGGAUUUUUUUAUGGAGGUGUACAGAGAGAAAUGAAAGAGAAAACAAUUUCUAUUUCUGCUCCUUGUUUUUCUCUUUCAUUUCUCUCUGUGCACCUCAAUAAAAAAUCCUGAGAGAGAGAGAGAAAUGUGCUUGCCACAAUCUGCCUCAUGACCACUGUGAUGGACAGAGAUUGAAGCCCCUCCCAAGGACUGAGACUGAGACCCCUACCACAGGGAGGAGGGCUGGCCUGAUCAAUGGGAGAUGUUUGCCCAGGUGUGGUUGAUGGACCAAGAAGACAACGGCUCUCGCUCACGGCUGAUAACAUGACCUGUUCCCCCUCAGUGGCUUCAGUGGACUUAUUCUUCAUUGUACCUGUUCCCCCUCAACGUUUUCAAUGGACUUUCAUUGUCUUUUGCCCAUUCCCCCCAUUCUCAGGGGAAGACCCCUGAGAUAACCAAGAUUUUCAGGUUCUCCCCAAUGCGACAAGACAGAUCUCCAUUGUUCAGACCAGUGAGGAUUUUGUCUGCUUUGCUACCUAUAGUCCCCUUUCCCCUCCUUUUCUUUCUAUCCUUUAUUUCCUUUCUGUCCCCUCUAUUGCAUUUGUUGUUUGCACUCUAUAAUAAAGGUGCAUUUGUUGUGAUUAAACUGAUGGCCUUCUGA